UAGNAGGAAGUAAAGUCGUAAUCACGUUUUCCGUAGGUGAACCCUGCCGGAGGAAUC
rnacentral:rRNA from 1 species